rnacentral:piRNA from 1 species
UGCCCACAAAAGCCUGCCAGAAGGUAC